CAAUAGCGUAUAUUAAAGUUGUUGCGGUUAAAAAGCUCGUAGUUGGAUUUCUGCCGAGGACGACCGGUCCGCCCUCUGGGUGAGUAUCUGGCUCGGCCUGGGCAUCUUCUUGGAGAACGUAGCUGCACUUGACUGUGUGGUGCGGUAUCCAGGACUUUUACUUUGAGGAAAUUAGAGUGUUUCAAGCAGGCUUACGCCUUGAAUACAUUAGCAUGGAAUAAUAAGAUAGGACCUCGGUUCUAUUUUGUUGGUUUCUAGAGCUGAGGUAAUGAUUAAUAGGGAUAGUUGGGGGCAUUCGUAUUUAACUGUCAGAGGUGAAAUUCUUGGAUUUGUUGAAGAUGAACAACUGCGAAAGCAUUUACCAAGGAUGUUUUCAUUAA
rnacentral:rRNA from 1 species